rnacentral:misc_RNA from 1 species
GCAUCUGUGACGGCAAAACCCGAGCCCUCAUGAACGAUGCUUGCGUCGACUGUCAGCAACUCGCCUGGCUUUACGAAGUCGCGCAUCUUGGCUUCCUUGACGCUGGCAAGGAACGGCAUGCGCUCGAACUUCAGAAGCGCGAUCAGGAGCCAGCCAGAGGUCUGCGCCAUCGUCUCGGUCAGCAGCACGCCCGGCAUCAGUGGAUAGCCGGGGAAGUGCCCCUCGAAAAUGGUGCUUGUCUCAGGCACCUGCGACUCGACCGUAAUCGUCCGCUUACCGACGUCGAGGUCGGUGAUGCGGUCAACCAUCUGGAAGUAUUCG